CGUCCAGGUGGUCGGCGGCCGGGUGGCCACCGGUUCCGAGCUGGCGUGGCUGUGACCACGACGGCACCGCCCCCGGUCCGGGUCUGGCCGUUCGUCC
rnacentral:tRNA from 1 species